GGCGGCAUGGCUUUACACCCAAACCAUCUUGGUGCUUCAUGACAGCCAGAUCCCUCACCUCACUGCCCGAGAUGGCAGCCACAUGAGACAGGCCCUGGAAAUAACAGGGGAAGCCACAGAGGGGAGCGUCUUGUCACUUUGUGCCUUAGCACUGCGGUGCCCUCAGUGUGGUGCCACUGGAGACCUUGAGGAAGAGGGUCCCUUUGAAAUUUGGUGACCAACAUCCAUCCAUCUCAGCUCUGUCCUGGAGGUCAGCUAAGAUCAUGGGU
rnacentral:lncRNA from 1 species